rnacentral:rRNA from 1 species
GAUGAACGCUGGCGGCGUGCCUAAUACAUGCAAGUCGAGCGAACAGACGAGGAGCUUGCUCCUCUGACGUUAGCGGCGGACGGGUGAGUAACACGUGGAUAACCUACCUAUAAGACUGGGAUAACUUCGGGAAACCGGAGCUAAUACCGGAUAAUAUAUUGAACCGCAUGGUUCAAUAGUGAACGACGGUUUUGCUGUCACUUAUAGAUGGAUCCGCGCCGCAUUAGCUAGUUGGUAAGGUAACGGCUUACCAAGGCAACGAUGCGUAGCCGACCUGAGAGGGUGAUCGGCCACACUGGAACUGAGACACGGUCCAGACUCCUACGGGAAGCAGCAGUAGGGAAUCGUCCGCAAUGGGCGAAAGCCUGACGGAGCAGCGCCGCGUGAGUGAUGAAGGUCUUCGGAUCGUAAAACUCUGUUAUUAGGGAAGAACAAAUGUGUAAGUAACUAUGCACGUCUUGACGGUACCUAAUCAGAAAGCCACGGCUAACUACGUG